UGUUUUCUGUUAAUUAAUUUUGAAAAAGAAAUUUUGUGUAUUUCAGAUAAAACAGAUGAUACAAAAAUGCUUGAAGAAUUUUUAUCUAAUGUAGCAGCACCUUCAGUGACUGAAGUAUCAGCUAGAACUGCAUUAAUUUCUUGGAAACCAAUAGAGCAGUCUUCAGAAAAAGAUGAUGGGAAACUUAAUGA